rnacentral:rRNA from 1 species
GACGAACGCUGGCGGCGUGCCUAAUACAUGCAAGUCGAACGCUGAAGAGAGGAGCUUGCUCUUCUUGGAUGAGUUGCGAACGGGUGAGUAACGCGUAGGUAACCUGCCUGGUAGCGGGGGAGAACUAUUGGAAACGAUAUCUAAUACCCCAUAACAACAGUUGUUGCAUGACAGCUGUUUAAAAGAUGCAAUUGCAUCACUACCAGCUGGACCUGGGUUUUAUUAGCUAGUUGGGGAGGUAACGGCUCACCCAGGCGACGAUACAUAGCCGGCCUGAGAGGGUGGUCGGCCACACUGGGAAUGGGACACGGGCCAGACUUCUACGGGAGGCAGCAGUAGGGGAUCUUCGGAAAUGGGGGGAAGGCUGACCGCGCAACGCCGGGUGAGAGAAGAAGGUUUUCGGAUCGGAAAGCUCUGUUGGAAGGGAAGAACGGGUGUGAGGGUGGAAAGUUCACACUGUGACGGUACCUUAACAGAAAGGGCCGGCUAACUACGUG